rnacentral:lncRNA from 1 species
CGCCUCUUUAAGUCUCUUCAAUGCCAUGUUCAUUUCUCUUUUUUGAUUACCAGGUAGUGCUGUCCUCAGUCUCUUGGGGCAUACUUCUUUCCCGAUCUGGCACAAACUACCCCUCAGGGCUUAAAGACAAGCAGAUGACAGAUGAUCAAGAUUGCAUUCUUACCCAAAUACUCUUCGUGAUUGCCUGCUUUGCGGCUUUGGGCACUGCCAAAACCUCGUUUACCUGCUUUAAAUACAAAAGACCGAAGGAAAGGUCUAGAUGCCGGUUUCUUCUGCAGCCACCAGCGGCUGAGAUACUCAGAGACUCUUUCAGAGAGCAAGGUUAUCUGUCAAGAAGAUCUACAAGGAAUAACCUCAUGGGCCCCUUAAAAAUAAGAAUUCGCCUAGCACGAAAUGAUGCCUUUUGUGGAAUGGUUCUUCAGGGAGUGGAGAACAUUCACGUGGAUUGACAUCCUAGUUUUCUCAUCAUGGCUGUGAGGGCUGGCUGGCGUGGAGCAAUGGGAGCACUUGGUGGCAGUGUGCAAGGGUGCUGGAACAAGUUAUUAAGGCACAUGUUUGUGAUUGCCGGAUUGUUCAACUCAAUUUCUCAAUAAAGGGCUCAAAGGGAGAGAUCUGAGCA